CGCGUAGGCGGGCUAUUAAGUUGGGGGUGAAAUUCCGAGGCUUAACCUCGGAACUGCCUUCAAAACUGGUAGCCUUGAGGUAUGGAGAGGGAAGUGGAAUUCCAGGUGUAGCGGUGAAAUGCGUAGAUAUCUGGAGGAACACCCGUGGCGAAGGCGGCUUCCUGGCCAUAUCCUGACGCUGAGGUGCGAAAGCUAGGGGAGCGAACG
rnacentral:rRNA from 1 species